GACGAACGCUGGCGGCGUGCCUAAUACAUGCAAGUCGAGCGAACUUGCGGGAGCUUGCUCCCAAAAGUUAGCGGCGGACGGGUGAGUAACACGUGGGCAACCUGCCUAUAAGACUGGGAUAACUUCGGGAAACCGGAGCUAAUACCGGAUAAUUCUUUUCUACUCAUGUAGAAAAGCUGAAAGACGGUUUGCGCUGUCACUUAUAGAUGGGCCCGCGGCGCAUUAGCUAGUUGGUGAGGUAACGGCUCACCAAGGCCACGAUGCGUAGCCGACCUGAGAGGGUGAUCGGCCACACUGGGACUGAGACACGGCCCAGACUCCUACGGGUUGGCUG
rnacentral:rRNA from 1 species